UCCACACCCAGAAUCCAAACCAGCGAACCCCAGGCCGCUGAAGUGGAAUGUGGGAACUUAACCACUGCGCCACCGGGCCAGCCCCCAGUUAAUCACUUUUAUGGAAUAAUAAAAGGUGCAUAAAAUGUCAGUGCUGCCCUGCCCAGAAACCCCUCCCCAGCAUGGAGUGUUACUGAAACAGCUUUCAUUCAGUUUAGGAGUCACCCUACCAAGCUGGUAUGACAUGAAUUAAGAAGGUGAGCUGCAAAGGAAGAAGCUGAGAGCUGCUUAUUUCAAGAUAGUUGUCUCUAAGCCCAGCCAACAGAACAAGGCGCCAAGGGAUAAAAGUUAAGUAGGAUGAGAUCUGCAAUAAAGCCAAAGAUGUGGGUUCUAUUUCUGAUUUUGUUAUCAUUUUGACCUUUUAGAAUGCAGAAGAAAUGAAAAUGUUUGUCUUAUAUCGACCUGCCCAGGAUGUAAUAGAGAAGAACAAGACUCAAGCAGAGAAAUGGAGACUUCCCUUAAGAAAUGCAUUAACUAAAUGUCAGGUGAUACAACCCUUGAAGGUCUUCCAUCCACAACAAUUUCACUUGAAAGCUAUUUAUUUAGGAAACAGAUGACAGAAAGCCCUGGAGUUGCAGAUUAAUAUUCCCUCAGUACACCUGUGUUAGAACACUUCCAGUACUAUAGGCAAAAGAAGCCCAGAGGAGGAUCAGGAAGACGUCUGUGUGUCUACAUAGUGACUCUUCCUUGUAGCACUGAAAAUCUUUCCUGACUAUUCAACGUAAAGAAUUACGAAAAAACUUAGUAGACUUUUAAAAAGACUUUACAGGGAAGUUUUUAAACAAAUAAAAAUAUGUAGAAACACGAGAAAGCAGAAUGAUAUGAGCAAAGUUCAAACAUUCAGUAACUAUCUAGUGAGCACCAACUACUGAUGUGCCAGGCAACUCACAGUGGUGAGUGACGUAGAUUAAGAUUCAGUCUCCACAGAACGUAAAAGUUGCAUGCUGUUCUGCGUUUAAGAGAGGGGGCCUGAUCUUCUGAAAUCUGUUUUUUGUAAGUAGGCUAAACAUAAAUAAUGAACAGGAUAGAGAUAGAAUAUGGUAGCUUUUUAAGGCAGGGCUCAGCAGCCUAUGACAAGGGGUCCCAGAGCAACUUUGGAAACAAUUUAUAGUGGUUCAGUGUUCAAGCUGUGGAGAGCCAAGUAGGGGUGCUACCCUGAGUUUAUCCCAGCCUUUCCAAGCCUUCUGCAACCUCAUCUCCACCUCCACUCCCGCUGGAUUUCUGGUAGCUGAAGUAUCAUGCCUCUGGGCUACCCCAACACUCAUUCCAGCAGGUUAGUCAAGUUUCCUGCCUUUCUUUGCAGCUAUACCCACUUCCUAAUGUGGUUCACUGGGAUGUCAGUGAAGGAAAUCAUGGCAGCUACUUCUGAAUUUAUUGAUCCCAAUUUUGGAAAGAGUUUCCAAGAGAAAAGGACAGCCAGUGUCACAAGUUGGCCAUCUAUUUGCAUCUGGAAAGUUGGAAGCUAUCUAGCUUGCUGGCCUGCUUGACUGUACCACGUGACAUGGAUAAUAGCGACGCUCUGGCAACACAGGAUGGUUCAAUUCUCAGUCAAUAUUCACUGAGCCCACACAACUGCCCAGGCAUCAUAGAAAGAGUUGGCACAGUCCUAGCCUUUGAUGGAUUUGUAAUCUAAAGUUACAUUUAAAAGAAGAACUUAAAAAUAUGCAGGUUAAUUCUACUCCCUAAAUAUUUAUUGAUUGUCAUUAACUUGGACCAUUAAACAGCUAUCUUUUUGAAAA